AAGUAGCAUUUGAUCUUGGAGCAACAAAUGCUGGCGAAGACCAUGGCGCUGCAAGAACACUCCCUUCCUUAGACAAUUUGAAUCUUUACUGGUUACCAAACUUGACGCAUGUUUGGGCAAACUAUUCACCAGGAAUUCAAGGAUUUCAGAACCUAAGAUCUUUGGUAGUAUAUGGGUGUGACAGUUUGAGAAUUCUAUUCUCACCUAUUAUAGCCAAACUUCUUGUGAAACUGGAAGUACUACAUAUAAAAUAUUGUGGUGUGAUUGAAGCCAUUAUUGCUUGGGAACAAGAAGUAGAUGAUGAAGGGAUGAGAAAUACAAUCAUAUUUCCUCGGCUAACUGAAGUCAAACUCGAGGAUCUGCCAAAUCUUAUGAGUUUCUUCCUUCAGGCUUACACGAUUGAAGGAACAUUUUUGAAGCGUUUGGUACUUCAUAAGAUACCAAAGCUCAUUGGUCUAUGCCCUGCUUCAAAAAGUAAUUUUGAUACCCCCAUGCAUUCGCUUUUCAACAACAAGGUAUGUUUCUUCCAUCUAAGGCCUCAGUAGCUUCUUCGUUAAUUUUUGGAUGGUCAGUAAUUUUGGUUAUUAGUUUUCCGUUGUAAUUAAUUGCAUUUUCAGGUUAUAAUAUGUUUCCUUGAUAUUUACAUAGUUUCGUUUUGAGUUAUAUAAGUUGAAUAUUUGAUGCAACCAAAAUCAAUAUAGAGAACAUAAGAAGAAAGUCUUGAACAGGAUCCUCAACUUUGGCUCUAUCAAACCUUCAACGGUUGGUAGAACAUCACAAACAACAUCUUGCAUCUUUGUAAACAAGCUUAACACAUGACACCUCACAAUCUCGAAUUCAAACAGAACCGAAAUCGACGGUCAAAAUCCACCUUUGAGGAAACAUCAAAGAAUUGAACUUGAUUUGGGCUUAUAUGGUUGAUUUAAAGUUCGAUCUAUUCAAGAGUCGAAUUAAAGGUUCGAUUUGACUGAAACAUGUAGUCAAAGUUGAUUGGGGUUUGAAAUAACCUCCAUAAGGUUCUAAUGGAUCGAGUGAAGGUCCGAUUUGACUAGAUUUGAAUAAAUCGAACCAGAUUAGGGUUCGAAUUCGAAAUCCGUACUGUUGCGAGUGCGAUUACAGCUAUAAUUAGAAGAAAUCAAAGAAAUUGGGAGAAAAACAAGCUUCUGCUUUCCGUUAGGGUUCCGGUUGAUUCCGGCCAGUCUCCGUAAAAUAUUUACGAAUUGGAAGACCAAACAAAUCAAAACCCAAGCUUUGAUACCAAAUGAUGCAGUCAAAUAUCAAUAUAUUAAUUUCUAGAGAGAAAUUUUCAAUCUUGGGAACACGGGCCAAAGCUCAACAAUCUCUAUUUUCAAAAUAUCAACCAUCAUCUACCGGUUAUUAAAGACUCUAGACUCUUAUUUAUAGACCUAAAGAUGCAACUAAUUGCCAUAGACAACUCUGUUUUAGUUGGGUCAACUAAAAGCAAAACUCCCACUUUUUCAUUUUUACUACAUCAAUAUUUCUCAUUUUGCAUUUAUGUUGCCUAGCUAAUUUUAAAGUCAUCAUUUUUUAGGUGUGCAAAAAACAAGAAAAGCUAGUUUUAUUAUGAUUUCUCAAUAGAUGUAUUAGGAACUUUUUAACUACAUUCAAAUUCUAUUUAAUUAUUUUACUUUUUAACACAUUCAGUGAAAGUGGGAAAGUUUUUAUCUUGGUAGGAGUGAAAAUGGCAGUCAAUGGAAAAUGAAUGUAAAAAAAAUAGAUAUAGUAGGAAAGUGCAGGUGGUACUCCUACAAAAACUGUAAAACAUCUUGAUUUUUUAACCGUGAUCUUUAGCAAUAAAUUGCGGUUUGGAAAUCAUGGUCUAUCGGGGAGCGAUUGUUUAGGGCAAUAAUCGAUUACGGUUUUCAGCCGUAAUAAAAGAACCCAAAAAUACGAGAGUGGUAAUGUCAAAACAGUGAUUAAUAUUACAUCUCAGAUCACGAUUUUGUAGUUUUCCAUCACAAUUUUUGAUCGUGACGAACCUAUCAUGAAGAAUUGAACAUCAUAGUGUUUUGAAAAAAACAUGAUUAUUUAGUAAUUUGAUCUCAUUUUGUAGUCAAAAUACGUGAUCAUUUAAGAGUAAAGAUGUCAGUUUUGUUAUGACUCAGAUAUUUUUUGAUCAUAAAAAAUCAAUAUUCCUACAAUUUUUUCCUCAAUUAAUCUGUUUGCCAAAAUCUUCAUAAGAAUUUUGUAAAUACAAUCUACCAAACUGAUAGGCCUAAAGUCCUCUAAAGACAUGGCUCCUUCAACCUUUGGUAUUAAUGUUAAAAAGGUAGAAUUCAAGCCAUUCAAAAUCUUUGCAUUUGAGAAGAACUCGUCCAGAAACUACAUAAUAUCAUCAUUCAAGCAUCCCCAAAGUGUUAACGAUGUUAACCUUGAUUUCUGUCUCCACAAGAUCUCCUCCCAUCUAUUCGGCGCCCAUAUGGUUUUGUCUAAGGUGAGACUUCAUCCUCUUCUCUUCCUCAUUUAGCUGCUGUUUUUC
rnacentral:lncRNA from 1 species